GUCUCAAAAAACAACAACAACAACAACAAAGGGUGAGGGGGUAGAUGAACCUUGAAAACAUUAUACUAUAUGAACAAAGUCAGACACAAAUGGUCAUUAAAUAUGUUAAAUUUUCAGAACAGGUAAAUUUGUUCUGUUAUUCUCUACUUUCUUUGCGCCAGCAUCUGGCAGACUGGUGGCGGCCAGAUGCUGGCGCAAAAGAAGUAGGGAAUAACUGCUCAGAAAGUGCUAAUGGCACAAAGGUAACUGCUAAUGGAUAUGGAAUUUCUUUCUGGAAUGAUGAACAUGUUCUGGAAUUAAGAUAAUGGUACUGGUUGCACACUAUGUGAUAUACAAAACAAAACAAAACAAAAAAUGGUGAGCAACCGUUCUUUUGGAGCUGCAAUGCCAUACACUAUGGAAUGAACUCUCUCUCCCCAAAAUGCACAUGUUUAAACCCUAACUCCCAAUGUGACUGAAUCUGGAGAACGGAAUUAAGGUCAGAAGUGUGGGCCCCUAAUGUGACAAAACUGUGGCUUGUAAGAAGAGGAAAAGAGAGCUAUCCGCCACCAAUGACAACAACAUCCUUACCCCAGCCUCCACCUUGGCAGGCACCCUGAUCUCAGACUUCCAGCCUCCAGAACUGUGAGAAAAGCAUAUUCUGUUGUUAAAGCACUUUGGGAGUGGUCUACAGUGUUCUGUUAUAACAGCCCAAGCUGACUAACACACCACAGAAAACAGCAAAACCAAAACCACUUGUCACAAAACAGCAAAACCAAAACCACUUGUCACAUUCAAUCUUCGGAAUCACAUGCAGAUACGAGUUUUCUUUUUUAAUUAAACACAAUUUUUGCUACUCCUUUUCUGCUUGUUUGCCUUUCCUAGAGGAGACAGCAACAGGAAAGCUGGAGCAUCAAUAGCCCUGCUGCAUGUGUGCCUUGGUGCUCCCUGGAACUGAGAACACCCACACACUUGAGGUUGUCUCUCACGGACCCUGGGACCCUACCCUUCCAGACUGCCAGCUGCUCUAUUUUGUCUCUUCUGCAGCCACAGACACACCUCAUUGCCCACUGUUUUUACAGUCUGUUGUCAAUUUUCCUUUUAUAUCCAGCCUGCUAUUUCUAUGCUGCCAACCAGGGUAUGCAGGUACAGUUGCACUUGUGCCCUAACCACAAUACAAUGCAGGUACAACAUCUGCCUGUUGAUUCUUUCUAGCACUGCUUGUGCUCAAGUCGCUCUCCUUAUUGACGAGUUUAAUGAGCUCUGAUUCUAGAAAAAGGGAGGCAGAAAAACCCAAACAACCUCCACCCCCCAAAAAAGAAAAUGCUCUCAAGACAAAAGGAGAUACAUGGUGGAGAUGAAAAAGAAACUGUUUCAAGUUACCACAAAUACAGAAUCAAAAGCCCAAAGACCAGGGGACACUGCUCAGCCAGCAAACCCAGAAAGAGUACUCUGACUAACGGAUGCAUAUAAAAGGCCAGUUACUCGGAGUGAGUCAAGAAGCUCAAACAAGAAAAAAAAGAGGAGAAGGGGAAGGCCAGGGAAAGGCAAACCCCGUGGAACCAAGUUUUCUUUGGGUCAAAACAAAUUCCUCCCUGUGCCCACACCCGAGCACCUAGUUUCAGUGACAGGGCAGCAGAGACACCAUAUCACCUUUCUUCCUUGAAAGAAGAAUCUUCAAAUCUAAGAUUUUUUAAGAUUUGAAAAAAAAUCUCAAGUGGUAGAGAAGCAUACAAUGUAUUUUAGAAUGCUUCAAAACACUGAAAACAUUCUGAUGUUCAAAGUACUACCAUUUGUGCUACUCUGGACAAGUCAAAACCUUGCUACAGCUAUUGUCAAAAGCGUGAUCAUAAAAAGUGCUUUGGCGGGGCACGAUGCAGUUUUAAAGGAGCUCCUGCUGGCUGCAGAUAAAAUCAUAUGUAUCAACAAAUAUAAUAAAACCCAAACAUUCCUGAAUCCAUAAGUCACUUAAUUGUUUUUUUUUGGAAGGCAGUGUAUCAACUAUUUUCAAUGUGCUAAGCAAAAGGAAAGAAUCAAACAUGCAUCCUGACUUUCCCUCACAAACUCAACCUGAAGUAUACAAAUAGUUGAUAUGGGAAUAUUUAUCUUUUUUGUAGAAGUGAGGUCUCACUAUGUUCCCCACUCUAGGCUUAAAUUCUUGGCCUCAAGUGAUCCUCCCACCUUGGCCUCCCCAAGUGCUGGGAUGACAGGCAUGAGACACCACACCGGGCAAGAAAGUUUCUCUUUACAAAAUACUCCAGAAAUGAAUAAAUAAGAAACAGUAAUAUUACACUAUCACCUUUUGAAAAAACUAA